CUUUGGCCCACAGCCAUUCCUAUAAAGCCAGUUACGGACUAGGGGCUGCGAAGGUUUCAAGGCCCCCCUAGGAAGCCUGAAUGAUCUAAACGGGUAAUGAGAAUAUUUUGAGUUGGUUUCAAGGCUACCCUCGGCCUGACAUCCAAGAGAGGCUCAGCAGCUGCACUUGUGUUUGGAUGGACUAUUUUCAUUUCUUUUACAGUGAGCUGGUUUAUCAGCUUAUGUAUUACGGAAGAACUGAGGCAUGUCUGCAAUUAAUGAGAGGAUUCUUUCGGGCAAGUGAGCACAUGCCCAGUCUGUAAUGCAAUUUAUGUCUUGUUAGCAACUUCACCGUGUGUCUCUAGUGUGGAUUCUUCAUACAAGUAAUCGUGCCUGUAUCACAUUACUUAUGUAUAUUGUAUCGUUUCUGCUCUUAUCUAUGGGGUUGCAAUAAAAUGUUGAGUAUAAAAUCUUGUUUCGUAAUGUGUGUGUAGAGAAGUACAUGUGUAUGUCUGUAGAGAAGUACAUGUGUGUGUUUGUGUAGAGAAGUGUGUGUGUAGAGAAUAUACAUGUGGGUGUGUGUAGAGAAGCACAUACGUGUACUUCUCUACACGUAUGUACUUCUCUACACACACCCACGUACAUACGUGGGUGUGUGUAGAGAAGUACAUACGCGUGUUUGCGUAGAGAAGUACAUACGUGUGUGUAGAGAAGUACGUGUGCGUAGAGAAGUGUGUGUGUGUAGAGAAGUGUGUAGAGAAGUACAUGUAUGUAUGUGUGUAGAGAAGUACAUACUUGUGCAAAUAAAACAUAAAAGGGUUUGUCUCCCAAAAAACAAUUCUUGCAUAAAGAAUUAAAAUGUAGUUAUAGGGGCUUUUAAAGUUGGUUCUAAAUGUAAUUACUAUUAAAAGCAGUAUCUGACCCCAACAAUGUUCCAAGUGACUUGUAUAAAAAAAUAAGCUGGAGGAGGCCAGACUCUUGUUAGACCUGGAGAACAGAAACCCUGCUCAUCACAUUAGUUACAUUUGCCUGGAAAGUUGCUUAGAGUUCCUUUUUUUGAAAUGCGGCAUUCCUUUAUCUCCUGGAGGUGCCUGGCUUGUGAGAA